rnacentral:rRNA from 1 species
UUCGCAAUGCCCGAAAGGGUGACGAAGCGACGCCGCGUGUGGGAAGAAGGCCUUCGGGUUGUAAACCACUGUCGGGAGUUAAGAAAUGUAAGGGUGUUAAUAGCAUUCUUGCUUGACUAAGGCUCCGGAGGAAGCCACGGCUAACUCUGUGCCAGCAGCCGCGGUAAUACAGAGGCGGCAAGCGUUGUUCGGAAUUAUUGGGCGUAAAGAGCACGUAGGCGGCUAUGUAAGUCGGUUGUGAAAGCCUUCCGCUCAACGGGAGAACAGCAUCCGAUACUACAUGGCUUGAGUGCGGGAGGGGAGAGUGGAACUUCUGGUGGAGCGGUGAAAUGCGUAGAUAUCAGAAGGAACGCCGGCGGCGAAGGCGACUCUCUGGUCCGUAACUGACGCUGAGUGUGCGAAAGCUAGGGGAGCAAACGGGAUUAGAUACCCCGGUAGUCCUAGCCGUAAACGAUGGGCACUAAGUAGAGGGGUUUU